rnacentral:siRNA from 1 species
AGAGCUCCUUGAAGUUCAAUGG